rnacentral:rRNA from 1 species
CAGUAGCCGCGGGAAUACGGAGGGGGCUAGCGUUGUUCGGAAUUACUGGGCGUAAAGCGCACGUAGGCGGCUUGGUAAGUUAGAGGUGAAAGCCCGGAGCUCAACUCCGGAAUUGCCUUUAAGACUGCAGAGCUAGCAGGUGAGAGAGGUGAGUGGAAUUCCGAGUGUAGAGGUGAAAUUCGUAGAUAUUCGGAAGAACACCAGUGGCGAAGGCGGCUCACUGGCUCAUACUGGACGCUGAGGUGCGAAAGCGUGGGGAGCAAACAGGAUUAGAUACCCCCGUAGUCCCUGUCUCUUAUAA